rnacentral:rRNA from 1 species
CCUACGGGAGGCAGCAGUAGGGAAUAUUGCUCAAUGGGGGAAACCCUGAAGCAGCAACGCCGCGUGGAGGAUGAAGGUUUUCGGAUUGUAAACUCCUUUUGUUAAAGAAGAUAAUGACGGUAUCUAACGAAUAAGCACCGGCUAACUCCGUGCCAGCAGCCGCGGUAAUACGGAGGGUGCAAGCGUUACUCGGAAUCACUGGGCGUAAAGAGCGCGUAGGCGGGAUAGCAAGUCAGAUGUGAAAUCCUAUGGCUUAACCAUAGAACUGCAUUUGAAACUGUUAUUCUAGAGUAUGGGAGAGGUAGGUGGAAUUCUUGGUGUAGGGGUAAAAUCCGUAGAGAUCAAGAGGAAUACUCAUUGCGAAGGCGACCUGCUAGAACAUAACUGACGUUGAUGCGCGAAAGCGUGGGUAGCAAACAGGAUUAGAUACCCGAGUAGUC